UGCAUGCUGAGCAGAAUAGUUAGUAGCAGAUGCUAUCAAGGAGUAAAAUCCCGAUCCCCUCUGUGCAAUUUCCAUGUUUUGUCUCUUGACAUCGUAACAAAUCAUCAGCGGAGGGAUGAAGCGGUGACAGGGAGAAUUAAAUCCACAAACACAAAUAACGAUGGCGCCGAUAAAGUACAUUUUCUGCCGUUGGCUAAAAGUUUCGAUAAUUUACUCUGAACUUUUUGCUUUAAGGAAAAUAGAUAACAGCGGGCUCUCCCGUCUCUGUGUCUGGAAAAAAAAAAUUCUGUUGUGUCCGUGGUCUUUUCUCCGCGACGGGAAAGCUAUAUCUCUAAUUUGAUCUGUGCAGACUAGCUGACUGUUACGUUUUGAAAUGAAACGACUCUUAAUAAUUCAAUAUUGCUCACUGCAAAGCCUUUCACAUUUCUAAUUCAACAAUUACAGCUACAAUAAGCACAGUUACAACAAGUACGGUCUUUCAGACUUGGUGAAUCCAAUGACAAUAUGGGCAAUCACAGUCAAUCAACAUGCAACUGCACAUCAAGGCUUUUAAAUAGCUACUGGGAAGAAGAUUAAAUUAGGGUGAGUGUCAGCAAAGAUUGGGGGAAAAAUCAGAAAACAUACAAAAUAUUAUUACCCUCAGUUUUCCUUGAAGCACACACUGACAGUGACAUAUGUAUUGCCGUGAAAAUGUAACCUAUAUGCACAUAGAUGGAUGACACGUCUCCACUUACUAUCACUGUACAAAAAUGAAGCUGUAAUAUCCCAUAUUAUGUUUGCUGGUGCUGGCGGAGUAAUUUGAAGCCAUUGUCUCUGGAUAAAUUGACUCUUGAGCGUACACAAUUGGAUAAAAUGGCAAACAGCAUCUUUGGAAGAAAAAAAAAAAUGUAUUUGAUGCAUUUAUUUGACUUUUUUCGUCUGGCCCACGUCCUAUCCACCAUCGUCCAAUUGUAGGCGCUGCGUCCUUCAGGGGACGCGGUCUGGAUGAUCUGGCCCUCCGGCAAUUUCCACCAGUGUAUGGUACACACUGUCCAGAGGGAUCGUCGCUGUCCAUGGUGCUGGAGACGUCGCGCUGAAUAAGCCGUAUGUGCCGGGGGAUCGCUGCUGUGCGUGGUGCUGGAAAAGCCUGCACCACUUCCCGCGUGCUGCACUUGAGGAUGCUCACCAUGCUGCAAAUACAACCAUUUUCCUGGAAGGCCAGCGCGGUAAAAAGUCAUCACACCAGGAAUGGUGUGCAAAGGUGAACAUCCUUACCUUGGAGCGUGCGGGUAAGAGUCUUCAAAGUGACUGUGUCUAGGUCUGUGAUAAACAACAAUCUUGGAGCAGGUAAGACACUGGCUUCGUUGAGUUUCUCGUGGGCAAAAUGAAUGCAUAUUUUUACUUUCCACUCUGCUUGGAAGACUCCACUUUACACUGUCAUCCUUUCAAAUUCUCGAUAAUGCCAUCUUUAACCUUGCUCCUGCAUGUUGGUCGGUCUGUUCCCUUCCUUACUCCCCAUGUUGCUUAAUUUUACGUGUUUACUUCACGGCCAAGGCUCUUGCCUCACAGACAGAUGGGAGGUAACUUUUAAAUAAUGAAUUCAUAAUUUUUUUGCGUACAUUGGCACAAUUAUGCAGAAAUUAAAAAGAAUUGUUUGAUGAAUAAACAGCAACGUAGAAGUUGUAGUUUUACUGUACAUUUAAUAAGCCUCUUUCCCCCUAUAUAUCAAGAAGCUUCGCGGUCCAGAUAGAAGCCCUGAGUCCGCCAGCUGGUGACCCCUGGGUUACACUGUAAGGUAUAAGGAAACCAUCCUGCCCCCCCCCCCCGUCAUGUACGUCAUGUUAUAAUUUUCUACCCAAAUAGAGAAAUUGGUCAUGACUCAAUACCAAUGAGAAGUGCUGUCAGCAUGGCUACGAUAUGCCUGGCAGCAGAGCAAGAUUUAAAAACUGGCAACCUACGAGCGUAGUCUGCUGGCAAAAAAAAGAAGAAGAAGAAGAAGAAGAAGAAGAGAUUACAGAAAUACAGAAGGGAAUGGGAAAAUGAUUACCACUGGCUGGGAUGUGUGAGCGAGAAUGUGUACAAGGCCAACUGUGUUGUCUGCCCAGAAGGUUUUUCCCCAUUAGUCACGGAGGAAUUUGUGACACGAACAACAUGCAUCGGGAGAAAAUCACAGGAGGAGCAGAGAGAGGCUGUGGAGGACUCGGGGAGAGCGUGCAAUCUCAAAGGUCCUUGUAUGACAGACAUCACUAGAGAAUGACAGGCAAUGUGACUGCUGCUGAACUAGCACAAACCUACCAUCCUGUGAAGCACCACUUGAGCGACGACAGGUCUGACUGUGCGCAUGAGCUGACUCACUGAGCACUGAGUGACUGCAGCGUUGCCAAGGAGCUGUCAAAGAGGACAAAAGCUGAGACAGUGGUCUCGGUGCGUCCUUGCUCAAAAAAGAGGAGGUGAUAAACACAUUUUGAAAAAAAAAAAAUACAUACCAUACAAACAGAAUGCCUCUUAACAAGGACAAUUGCAGGAUGUCGCCCUUGGCGGUACAGUUUUUCCUCAACAAGUUGGUAGUCAAUACCAUAACCGAGCCCGACUUGGGAUCAGAUGUUCGGUACAGACAACACAAGUGCCACUUACGGCGUACACAAUUCUGUCUCCACAUACUUGAAGAUAACGUCCAACAGUGACCUCCUCCAAGGCAACUGAUGUGCACAUAUUUCCAGCAUGCCCCGGAUCAGCUCUCAGUCGGUGUGGAGAAUAUUGUCAUUGAGGACCUACAGUUUCUUCUCCGUCUCUGCCAAAAGGAGAGAGAGGCCCCUGGCGCAGUUUUGUGCCUUUUGUGAUGUUGAGUUACAUUAAAUCCUGCACCAUGUGGUGACCAGAUGGCUGUUACUCAACCCUGCAAUCGGCCGCCUGCUGCAGGAGCGACUCUGAAGUCCUGUUUCGUCGGCAACGGCGAUGAUCGUACAAGGCACCUGCAAGCACUGCAGAGGUUGAAAGGGUUGGUGCUGCUGGAGUCAAGGAGGAGGUCUACCUCUUCUGCUGUAAUAAUGUCCUUGUCCUCUAUUUGAAGAGGUGGACAAGAGGCAGGGGAGGGAUGAGACCGCAUCAGCUGACCCCCAUACCAUUAUGAACUCUUAACUCAGAGAAGAGCCGCUGAGCUCUAUGGCUCCCUGACAAAACGAAAGCUCCAGCGUCCCUCUGUCCAUCGAAUGCUGAUGUUGCCAGACAGGAGUUUACAGCAUUCUUUAACAAUGAAAUCAUGUGUCCAGGGGACAGUGGACACAACUUUCAUCUGGCAAAGACAUCUGGGAAGAUCUCCAAUGACGGCAUGGGGAAGAUCACAAAAAACAAGAAUGCUUUGGACACAUGUAAUUUUCCCCUCUAAAUAAUUUAAUUUUAGAUAUCCUUGAUAUUGGAUUGAGGUGCAAUGAGAAAUUUUAUAAACAUGAACCCUAUUUCUAACUGCAAAAUGCUGGACUUUAAGUAGUAUUUUAAACUAGGAUGCAUAUUUAAGACAUAAUAGCCAAACAAACUGGUGAUCUACAUGGAGGAUGAUAGUUUGGUAAGCCGGAUUCUUUUGAAAUCUUUAUUCAUAAAUUAUUACGUUUUGAGUUAAUGGUCUGUGCAGCAUGCGCUUCAGCCAUUUUUCCUCUUACAGGAAGAGGCCGGUCUCAUUAACUACCCAUGAGCCUGCACAUUGUGGGAAACUCAUUCAUAGGAAUUAAUUUACUCUGCAUAUUGGAAGGCUUCUAAUUGUCAAUUGUGCGCCAUGUCUUACAGUAACCCGCCUGACCUCCAAUUACAAUAGCACCAAUCAGAUUGGGGUUAAUUCCAAGUGACGAUCAAUUUGGCCCAAUCAUUUUGCUCCAUUCCCAUGGGUGACUGAGUGACUGAGUCGCAAGCAAAUGUAUUUCCAACCAGCCCACAUCAACACAUUACCUUGUUUUACUGUCUCUGUUAAUAGAACGCAUUAAUCAAAUCACUUUUGCCUCUAUAUGCGGUGUUAAUGGUACUGUGCUAAAUUCAUUCUCGAACAAAGCGUUACUCUUAUUAGUAUUAAUGCAAAUAUACUAUGACUGGCACUUUGUUCUGUAUUGUUUUUAUCUGUUUUCGCUAUAGAGUGCAAGUAAUUCUAUAUUUAAUAAAUGUUCCCAAAAAAAUGAAGAAAAAAUAAAAACCAGAAAACAUACUCCGCGCAGUAGCAAAGGUCGCGACUGAAUGUGUGAAAAUCAAGUCUUAUCUCUUUGCCGAAAAGAAGCGUUUCGAGAAAAGUGUGCAUUCAGUGCAGCCUGAGUAGAAGAGCGUUGACAUAAUUUGUAUGUGAGCACCCUACAAGAGCACACUUAAAAAGGAAGGCUACAAGUUUUCUCCUGAGUACAUUUUCUGGUGAACAGCCAAUAGCAACUGUCUUUGAAGGCGAAGUACAAUGGAGGGGGGAAACAAAAGCUUUGCUCCAUUGUAACCCAGGAGUGAGUAGGUAGGUCUAAACAAUGACAGCAUGUCCUUGAGUUAUAAAUAUAUAAUAUCCCUCAGGUGGCACUGGGAGACAGCAGCUUCUGAUUGGCUUUGGCUAUAAAUCAUUCAUUACUGUUCACAUCAAUAAUUAAUAUUCCAACCAAGCCUGAAUCCUUUAUGUAAAUACUGUCACACGUUGGAAGGUUACCAUUGUAAACUUGCACAGACAGCAGUUUUUGAACUUUUGAUUGCUGGCUUAGGCUGCCAUGUUUGCCUCCGUAUUCUUUUCAACCAACCUGCAAAGAAAUAUAACACAGAUGUGUGGAGAAUAACCGAUAAACAUUGUAGGCCAAAUCAUCAGAUACUAGAAAGCACAGAUUAACAAUUGAUUGGUGUCACAUGUAUUUCAACAAACCACAGUGCAUUUGAUGUGCUUUCAUGGCAGGUGAAACAAUCACAAAGAUAAACGGUUUAUUGUGGCCUGCGAUAUAGAUAACUAUCGUUCAGAAAUAUAAUUGAUAUGUUGGAUGAGCUGUUCACACUGUGUACAAAGAACAGACCAAAUGUGUUGUCUGUCUAGACUAUUACUGCCAAAAUGCUACAUAAGAGUUUAUCCAUCACGGAUGUGACGUUAAUCUCUGACAGUUAUGAUCUAAACCAAUGACCAAAAGUGAAGCCAAAACAUCUUGAUCGCCCCCUGGUGGCUGGCUGCAGUAGAGGUCAUAAAACAUACUCCACGGCAGCAGAUGGGACAUGGUCAUGCCAAAAUUAAUUAUUUCCAUAAACUUCCACCUAAAAUGUCACUUUCUUAUCACACCGAAGUGAAGUGGUCAUUUAUCCGGUAAGAUUGGUUUCAAUUAGAUGUGUGACGCACUACAAAUUGGGUGAAACGCCACGAUUGACAGCUGAGACUUGACUUUGUCGAGCAUGUGUGUUGACAGCACAGCACAAAACAGCAGCGCUCGUAUCCAGGAUAUUUUGGCUCAAUUUUUGCACAGUGGGAGGAAGUGGAGACACGUUGUCCAUCAUUAUAUUCAGUCUAAACCAUAUGGACAAUCUUGAAGGCGUUUGAAACUGGGCUAAGAGGAAUCCAGCAUUGAUGAAAAGGUCAGGGGUCAGUUAACUUUUUUUUUUUAGCUUCUAACCAGUAAAGUUUUAAAAUUUCAGCGUGAAAGCUCAUAAUUACUGUGAGAGCCGUCGAACAGAUUUGAUUCGUGCACUUUGUAUCCUGUAUUCUGUUUAAAGGACAUAUGGUAAUGAUAUUUCAAAAUGAUUUGGAGGAGUGGGAUGACAUCUCAUUACUCAUUUUCCUCAACUUGCUCAACUUGGACGGUUUCAGAGUGCGGAAAAGUUUUGAUAGGCCAAGUGGAAGAAACAACACAAAAAAAAUAGAAAUAAAGUCAUCUUUGAAAAUUGCCUGCAGGUGGAAGAAGUCAGAGCUGAUUUACAAGUUGAAAAUGUGUAUUUUCAAUAGACAUGACAUUGAGCUCUAAGCUUAUAGAUUGGCGCUGAUUGAAAAAGGGAGAAAACUGUCUGGAGCUCAAGACUUUUUUUGGGGGGGAUUACUUAUACAUUUCAAAAGGGCACUAUAAAUGUGCGCUCUCUUCAAUCACCUCCGUGCUUUGAUGCCUUGAUCCCACUGAACUUUGCUCAAACAACAUUUAAGCUGUAGAAGGUUUUUUGUUUUUUUAAAGCAGGGAGAGCUGUGAUAUUAUUGAUUCAUAUUAGGUGUCGGCUGCUGUUUGUGUAGCUGAGCCGCUUUUAUCUCCCAUCCCAUUGGCACUUAUGCCUUGGCAGCGGCCACUACAACUUUCCUGAUGGACGUAGAGCUGGCACUCUGGCAUCCCAUAAAAAUGCUUCAGCGGGUGAUAAUAUGUGCAAGAGCCGAGCACUGGACUGCACACUGGCACUUUUGUCAUGGUAAUGCGGCCGCGUAUGACGCUCCGGCAAAUAGGAUUUACUGUACAGGCCCCCUUAUGAAAUGGAACUGCAGUGUCAUAAAAUGUACUUUUAAAGAAAUUGUGUGAGGGAACUCUGGGCAGUAAAUUAAACUCCUCUGGCGGGAUUAGAUGGAGGGGGUGGGGGGGGGCAGCUGGAUGAGAAUGUGGGCCAGCUGGAGAGCCACUGCUCACAGAGGUCAUGGAUCUGCUGUAACUGCACACCUCUCCAUUUCAGCUUUUAUUCGGUUUUAUUGCAUGUUUUACUUUCCUCUGAAACAAUUGUCCAAAGGGGAGCUGUGGCAUACGCCGUGGGCACAAUCGGCCAUACACUGGAUUAAAGUGUGUGUGUGUGUGUGUGUGUGUGUGUGUGUGUGAGGGCGAGGGGGUUCAUGCAUGUGUAUAUGUAUCUGAACGGACAAAAAAAACCCUUCCCUCCUUUGCACAUGAACCCAACAGUCGGGUUUGGCUUUUGUGGAGAAAGUGUGAAGUUGAUUUACGGCCACAGUCGCCUCUCGCUCGUGUAACAUUUUCAAGGUUGAAGACCAAUUUUAGGAUGAUUUUCCGCACUGCAGGCUCACGGAGCUCCUCGCAUUAGGCCCCCGUGUGCGGUGGGAGCUCGGCUUCAGUCCGCGCAGAAGUCAUCCAGGGCCUGAACGUCGCUCCGGUCACUGGCAUUUGACUGUACUUAAGAGUCUCCGCACUUUGCCUUUUAAAACCUCCUCCUCUACCAACCCCGAAAUCCUGCUUAUCCCUGUACCUGUGUGUGUGUGUGUACGUGUGUGUAGGGAGAGCUCUCAGUCGGUAUCCGGCCGUGGCAGCUGAGAGAAGCUUGGAUGAACCCUCUACAAGCUCGUGCGUAAAUAUGCAGGAAAAGAGGAGAAAUCACUUCCCCCUGCUUCAGGCUGUUCAUCUUUUUUCGGGGUUUUCUUCGCAACCUUUGGCCACGGCUGAAAGUUAAAAACACAGCCACUCAAACUUAACGUCAAAAUGGAAGAACGGACUCCUCCAAAUAUGUUCUAACCAGAUCAACUGGUACCCGACCGCCGCUGAGUGUUUCAACCCUCAACAACAACACUUUCCACUUGGUGAGGAGGCAGUGGGGAGCAAACCACUCUCCACCUUCUCCCGGCUUCCAUCUCCCCUCCUCUCGCUCACUCCACAUCCGGCAAGAGGCUCGCCGGGCCCCCUCCCCCAUCCCGCGAGCUGCCUGUCUCUGGCUCCUUUCAUUCAAGGCCCAGAGCUGACAAUAACCGCCACGUCGAUUUGGCUUGGGAACCUUUACCGACAAUCGAUGCAGGGAACGGCCGUGCCUGCUGCCUAUCUCUGAUAGAAAAAAUAAAGAAAGUACGACUCUAGGUGUCAUGCAAGUUUGGUUCUCUAGUUUUUUAAUCACAUACAGUAUGCGGCAUAAAAAAGACUACAGCUCUACGUUGAAUUAUGUGCUUGAUUUCUAUGGGGCUAAUGUUAGCUCUGGCAGCCAGAAUCUGUUAAUUUAAAAAAAAUGAAUACAUAAAAAUGAUUAUUUUCUGAACUUUUCUGAUUAAUGAUUAUUUCAUGAUGAAUAUUCAAUUUUUAUAUAUGAAAUACUGACAAUCUGAAACAAAGUUUUCAGGGAUUUAAACAAAAACACCAGCUUAGAAAAUGAAUUAGCACGUCUCUGAUUUUGGCAAAGAAUAUAUACAUUUUAUGGAUUUUACUGAAUUACCAUAUGCCUAUAGCAGCCACGCAGAUGCUCUCAUAUCUGAAUAUAGCCUCUAGGGUUGGUUAUAGUCACUUGUGCAAUGGAAUUUGUUUCCUGGUGGUGGCUGCAUAAACGGUGAUCAUAUCAUAUCCUAACCUCCGAAUCCAAUUUCUGGCAGCAAUGUAUACAGGUGGUCUUUUUUCCUUAUCCUUGACGUGGUAGGUCCUCUUUCCUUUUAACAUUUCCACCCAUAUGUCGUGCUGCAUGCACAACCCCACAUCUGGAAGAACAUAUUAAGUUAGUCAUCAUGAAAUUUCAUAAACAGGAAAUGUUAAUUCGGGAUCCUCAGAGCAAACAAA